rnacentral:rRNA from 1 species
CCUACGGGAGGCAGCAGUGAGGAAUAUUGGUCAAUGGACGAGAGUCUGAACCAGCCAAGUAGCGUGAAGGAUGACUGCCCUAUGGGUUGUAAACUUCUUUUAUAUGGGAAUAAAACGUUCCACGUGUGGGAUUUUGUAUGUACCAUAUGAAUAAGGAUCGGCUAAUUCCGUGCCAGCAGCCGCGGUAAUACGGAGGAUCCGAGCGUUAUCCGGAUUUAUUGGGUUUAAAGGGAGCGUAGGUGGAUUGUUAAGGCAGUUGUGAAAGUUUGCGGCUCAACCGUAAAAUUGCAGUUGAAACUGGCAGUCUUGAGUACAGUAGAGGUGGGCGGAAUUCGUGGUGUAGCGGUGAAAUGCUUAGAUAUCACGAAGAACUCCGAUUGCGAAGGCAGUUCACUGGACUGCAACUGACACUGAGGCUCGAAAGUGUGGGUAUCAAACAGGAUUAGAUACCCCAGUAGUC